UGGGGAAUUUUGGACAAUGGGCGCAAGCCUGAUCCAGCCAUGCCGCGUGCGGGAAGAAGGCCUUCGGGUUGUAAACCGCUUUUGUCAGGGAAGAAAUCUUCUGAGUUAAUACCUCGGGAGGAUGACGGUACCUGAAGAAUAAGCACCGGCUAACUACGUGCCAGCAGCCGCGGUAAUACGUAGGGUGCAAGCGUUAAUCGGAAUUACUGGGCGUAAAGCGUGCGCAGGCAGUUUUGUAAGACAGAGGUGAAAUCCCCGGGCUCAACCUGGGAACUGCCUUUGUGACUGCAAGGCUUGAGUGCGGCAGAGGGGGAUGGAAUUCCGCGUGUAGCAGUGAAAUGCGUAGAUAUGCGGAGGAACACCGAUGGCGAAGGCAAUCCCCUGGGCCUGCACUGACGCUCAUGCACGAAAGCGUGGGGAGCAAACAGGAUUAGAUACCCUGGUAGUCCACGCCCUAAACGAUGUCAACUAGUUGUUGGGGGAUUCAUUUUCCUUAGUAACGUAGCUAACGCGUGAAGUUGACCGCCUGGGGAGUACGGUCGCAAGAUUAAAAGCUCAAAGGAA
rnacentral:rRNA from 1 species